CCAUAAGGCGCCCUAGGGCCUACCGGGACUGGGGGCUGCCCGGGGCGGGGCGCGCUGUCCGGCCCGGGCCCACUGGCGGGGGGAGGGGUGACCCGGGGGUGGGGCCGUGGGCCAGGCCCCGUUAGCGGCGGGAAGGAAAGUUUCCAACUCAGCGGGAUGGAAGGGGCCCCGGGCCGUGAAGUUACCUGCGGGUCCCGGACGGGAAGAAGGCACCAGUGGAUCCUGAGCCCGGAGCCGCCUCAGCUGCUUUGUCUCUGCGCCGCGCCCGUCCCGACUGGAGAGGAGGAAAUGGGCUCUUCCGGGCACCUCCCCCUACGGCCUAGCCGGCUCUUCCGGGCACCUCCCCCUACAGCUCCGCCGGCUCUUCCCGGGGCCGCCCGCCCUGCGCAGAUGCCCAUGGCAGCCAUGCUGUGGGGCCAGGAAGCAUCACAGCGGAGGCACCUAUCCAUGCUCUGCAAGGAUGAAGAGGCCCAAUUAUCAGACAGUGCUGCCAUCUGAAUGGGAAAGAAAGGAAAGGUGAAAUUGUUCAGGUGAGAUCGAAUUUUGAGGUAUUUAAGAUUC
rnacentral:lncRNA from 1 species